CCGAUGCUUAUUCUUCAGGUACACGUCAUUUUGUUCCUCCCUGAAAAAAGAGGUUUACAACCCAUAGGCCGUCAUCCCUCACGCGGUAUUGCUCCGUCAGGCUUUCGCCCAUUGCGGAAAAUUCCCC
rnacentral:rRNA from 1 species